ACUAAAUAGAUACCCUGGUAGUCCACGCCCUAAACGAUGUCUACUAGUUGUUGGUGGAGUAAAAUCCAUGAGUAAACGCAGCUAAACGCGUGAAGUAGACCGCCUGGGGAGUACGGUCGCAAGAUUAAAAACUCAAAGGAAUUGACGGGGGCCCGCACAAGCGGUGGAUUAUGUGGAUUAAAUUCGAUGCAACGCGAAAAACCUUACCUGGCCUUGACAUGCCACUAACGAAGCAGAGAUGCAUUAGGUGCCCGUAAGGGAAAGUGGACACAGGUGCUGCAUGGCUGUCGUCAGCUCGUGUCGUGAGAUGUUGGGUUAAGUCCCGCAACGAGCGCAACCCUUGCCAUUAAUUGCCAUCAUUUAGUUGGGCACUUUAAAUGGGACUGCCGGUGACAAACCGGAGGAAGGUGGGGAUGACGUCAAGUCCUCAUGGCCCUUAUGGUCCAGGGCUUCACACGUAAUACAAUGGUCGGUACAGAGAGUUGCCAACCCGCGAGGGGUAGCUAAUCUCAGAAAGCCGAUCGUAGU
rnacentral:rRNA from 1 species